rnacentral:rRNA from 1 species
GACGAACGCUGGCGGCGUGCUUAACACAUGCAAGUCGAGCGAUGAAGCUCCUUCGGGAGUGGAUUAGCGGCGGACGGGUGAGUAACACGUGGGUAACCUGCCUCAUAGAGGGGAAUAGCCUUUCGAAAGGAAGAUUAAUACCGCAUAAGAUUGUAGCCUCGCAUGAAGCAGCAAUUAAAGGAGUAAUCCGCUAUGAGAUGGACCCGCGUCGCAUUAGCUAGUUGGUGAGGUAACGGCUCACCAAGGCGACGAUGCGUAGCCGACCUGGGAGGGUGAUCGGCCACAUUGGGACUGGUACACGGCCCAGACUCCUACGGGAGGCAGCAGUGGGGAAUAUUGCACAAUGGGGGAAACCCUGAUGCAGCAACGCCGCGUGAGUGAUGACGGUCUUCGGAUUGUAAAGCUCUGUCUUCAGGGACGAUAAUGACGGUACCUGAGGAGGAAGCCACGGCUAACUACGUGCCAGCCGCCGCCGUAA